AUCGAACCCGAGGUUUUUAAGUCUAUCGUGGAUUACCUUAGAAGAGAGGGAUUGAAGGGCACGUCGCGUGUUUCUGUCGAGGAGCAAUUGGCAAUGUUCAUGUACAUGAUCUCGCACAAUGCUAGUAAUCAAGAUCUACAAAAAUACUUCCAACACAGCGCAGAAACAAUUCAUAGGAAGAUAAACGAUUUUUUUGACUUAAUUCCAACUCUAGCCCAAAGAUUUAUAAAGAUUCCAAGUUCACUCCAGCCCCAUCCGAAGAUUGUUUCGAACAAUCGCUAUUGGCCUUAUUUCCAGGUGAACCACUACACACACAUCUCCAUAUCAAUGGAAUUUUUGAAAACUUCUCCACAUAGAUUUCUAAACCUAGCAACUUUGUUGUUUCUUUUUCAAUGUGCAGAACUGCAUUGGUGCUAUAGAUGGAACACAUAUCCCCAUCACUAUUGCUGA
rnacentral:rRNA from 1 species